rnacentral:rRNA from 1 species
AUUGAACGCUGGCUGCAGGCCUAACACAUGCAAGUCGAGCGGAGCGGCGGACGGGUGAGUAAUGCCUAGGAAUCUGCCUGGUAGUGGGGGAUAACGUCCGGAAACGGGCGCUAAUACCGCAUACUCUCAGAUGAGCCUAGGUCGGAUUAGCUAGUUGGUGGGGUAAAGGCCUACCAAGGCGACGAUCCGUAACUGGUCUGAGGUGAUGAUCAGUCACACUGGAACUGAGAAACGGUCCAGACGCCUACGGGAGGAAGCAGUGGGGAAGAUUGGACAAUGGGCGAAAGCCUGAUACAGCCAUGCCGCGUGUGUGAAGAAGGCCUUCGGAGUGUAAAGAACUUUAAGUUGGGAGGCGUUACCCGCAGAAGAAGCACCGGCUAACUCCGUGUCAGCAGCCGCGGUAAUAC